GAAUGCUGACAUAAGUAACGAUAAAGCGGGUGAAAAGCCCGCUCGCCGGAAGACCAAGGGUUCCUGUCCAACGUUAAUCGGGGCAGGGUGAGUCGACCCCUAAGGCGAGGCCGAAAGGCGUAGUCGAUGGGAAACGGGUUAAUAUUCCCGUACUUGGUGUUACUGCGAAGGGGGGACGGAGAAGGCUAUGUUGGCCGGGCGACGGUUGUC
rnacentral:rRNA from 1 species